AAGCCUCGCUUUUUUGCUGGUAGACGCACACCAUCACAUCCUACAUAAUAUUUAGCUCUGAGGCGUUUCCAGAUGGGAAGUGCGUUUCUGUAUUUUCAUAGCCGUGUUCUCUACGUGAAUGGACUGGCGUGAAGCUGGGGGCUGACGGCUGGCAGGGCAGAACAACUUCCAGUAAAAGAAGGCACUGAGGUUUAAGUGCUACGUGGGAGCAGUUGCCGAUUUUUGCAAUGGGAGGCUGCAUAGAUUCAAGGACUUCCUUGAGUGCUCCAGGAGCUUGUCAUUCCAGAGACAGAGCAGCCCAGAAGUCCUGGGAUUUACACCUCUAGUAGAAACCCUCAACCAGAGAAGGAUGGAAGUCAAUGGGCAGAGUGCUCGGGAGACCUUUACCUGUUUUACCUGAUUACAUCCUCUGAGGUAUGUGCCAUUUAUACCUGGGGAAACUGAGGCUCAGAAAAAUGACCUUGUCUGUGGUCACACAGCUGGUAAGGGGUAGGAAUGGAAUUUAAACCCAGUUGUCUAACUUCAGGGCCCACAUUUCAGCCACAACUGAGGUUUUUCCUAACCUAACCCCAU
rnacentral:lncRNA from 10 species